rnacentral:rRNA from 1 species
UGGACCUCAGAUCAGGCAAGAGUACCCGCUGAGUUUAAGCAUAUCACUAAGCGGAGGAAAAGAAACUAACUAGGAUUU